GAUCAUGGCUCAGGAUGAACGCUAGCUACAGGCUUAACACAUGCAAGUCAAGGGGCAGCAUUUUAGUUUGCUUGCAAACUAAAGAUGGCGACCGGCGCACGGGUGAGUAACACGUAUCCAACCUGCCGAUAACUCAGGGAUAGCCUUUCGAAAGAAAGAUUAAUACCUGAUGGCAUAGGAUCAUCGCAUGAUAAUCCUAUUAAAGAAUUUCGGUUAUCGAUGGGGAUGCGUU
rnacentral:rRNA from 1 species